GAGCGGGGGAGAUUGCUUCGGUAAUUGACCUAGCGGCGGACGGGUGAGUAAUACUUAGGAAUCUGCCUAUUAAUGGGGGACAACAUCUCGAAAGGGAUGCUAAUACCGCAUACGCCCUACGGGGGAAAGCAGGGGAUCACUUGUGACCUUGCGUUAAUAGAUGAGCCUAAGUCGGAUUAGCUAGUUGGUGGGGUAAAGGCCUACCAAGGCGACGAUCUGUAGCGGGUCUGAGAGGAUGAUCCGCCACACUGGGACUGAGACACGGCCCAGACUCCUACGGGAGGCAGCAGUGGGGAAUAUUGGACAAUGGGGGGAACCCUGAUCCAGCCAUGCCGCGUGUGUGAAGAAGGCCUUAUGGUUGUAAAGCACUUUAAGCGAGGAGGAGGCUCUUCUAGUUAAUACCUAGGAUGAGUGGACGUUACUCGCAGAAUAAGCACCGGCUAACUCUGUGCCAGCAGCCGCGGUAAUACAGAGGGUGCGAGCGUUAAUCGGAUUUACUGGGCGUAAAGCGUGCGUAGGCGGCUUUUUAAGUCGGAUGUGAAAUCCCCGAGCUUAACUUGGGAAUUGCAUUCGAUACUGGGAAGCUAGAGUAUGGGAGAGGAUGGUAGAAUUCCAGGUGUAGCGGUGAAAUGCGUAGAGAUCUGGAGGAAUACCGAUGGCGAAGGCAGCCAUCUGGCCUAAUACUGACGCUGAGGUACGAAAGCAUGGGGAGCAAACAGGAUUAGAUACCCUGGUAGUCCAUGCCGUAAACGAUGUCUACUAGCCGUUGGGGCCUUUGAGGCUUUAGUGGCGCAGCUAACGCGAUAAGUAGACCGCCUGGGGAGUACGGUCGCAAGACUAAAACUCAAAUGAAUUGACGGGGGCCCGCACAAGCGGUGGAGCAUGUGGUUUAAUUCGAUGCAACGCGAAGA
rnacentral:rRNA from 1 species